UGGGGAAUAUUGGACACUGGGCGAAAGCCUGAUCCAGCCAUGCCGCGUGUGUGAAGAAGGUCUUCGGAUUGUAAAGCACUUUAAGUUGGGAGGAAGGGCAGUAAGCGAAUACCUUGCUGUUUUGACGUUACCGACAGAAUAAGCACCGGCAAACUCUGUGCCAGCAGCCGCGGUAAAACAGAGGGUGCAAGCGUUAAUCGGAAUUACUGGGCGUAAAGCGCGCGUAGGUGGUUCGUUAAGUUGAAUGUGAAAGCCCCGGGCUCAACCUGGGAACUGCAUCCAAAACUGGCGAGCUAGAGUUGGUCAGAGGGUGGUGGAAUUUCCUGUGUAGCGGUGAAAUGCGUAGAUAUAGGAAGGAACACCAGUGGCGAAGGCGACCACCUGGGCUCAUACUGACACUGAGGUGCGAAAGCGUGGGGAGCAAACAGG
rnacentral:rRNA from 1 species